GGCGUUAAGUUGCAGGGUAUAGACCCGAAACCCGGUGAUCUAGCCAUGGGCAGGUUGAAGGUUGGGUAACACUAACUGGAGGACCGAACCGACUAAUGUUGAAAAAUUAGCGGAUGACCUGUGGCUGGGGGUGAAAGGCCAAUCAAACCGGGAGAUAGCUGGUUCUCCCCGAAAGCUAUUUAGGUAGCGCCUCGUGAAUUCAUCUCCGGGGGUAGAGCACUGUUUCGGCUAGGGGGCCAUCCCGGCUUACCAACCCGAUGCAAACUGCGAAUACCGGAGAAUGUUAUCACGGGAGACACACGGCGGGUGCUAACGUCCGUCGUGAAGAGGGAAACAACCCAGACCGCCAGCUAAGGUCCCAAAGUCAUGGUUAAGUGGGAAACGAUGUGGGAAGGCCCAGACAGCCAGGAUGUUGGCUUAGAAGCAGCCAUCAUUUAAAGAAAGCGUAAUAGCUCACUGGUCGAGUCGGCCUGCGCGGAAGAUGUAACGGGGCUAAACCAUGCACCGAAGCUGCGGCAGCGACGCUGAUGCGUUGUUGGGUAGGGGAGCGUUCUGUAAGCCUGCGAAGGUGGCCUGUGAGGGUUGCUGGAGGUAUCAGAAGUGCGAAUGCUGACAUAAGUAACGAUAAAGCGGGUGAAAAGCCCGCUCGCCGGAAGACCAAGGGUUCCUGUCCAACGUUAAUCGGGGCAGGGUGAGUCGACCCCUAAGGCGAGGCCGAAAGGCGUAGUCGAUGGGAAACGGGUUAAUAUUCCCGUACUUGGUGUUACUGCGAAGGGGGGACGGAGAAGGCUAUGUUGGCCGGGCGACGGUUGUCCCGGUUUAAGCGUGUAGGUGUGUGUUCCAGGUAAAUCCGGUUCACUUUAACACUGAGGCGUGACGACGAGGCACUACGGUGCUGAAGCAACAAAUGCCCUGCUUCCAGGAAAAGCCUCUAAGCAUCAGGUAACAUCAAAUCGUACCCCAAACCGACACAGGUGGUCAGGUAGAGAAUACCAAGGCGCUUGAGAGAACUCGGGUGAAGGAACUAGGCAAAAUGGUGCCGUAACUUCGGGAGAAGGCACGCUGACACGUAGGUGAAGUGAUUUACUCAUGGAGCUGAAGUCAGUCGAAGAUACCAGCUGGCUGCAACUGUUUAUUAAAAACACAGCACUGUGCAAACACGAAAGUGGACGUAUACGGUGUGACGCCUGCCCGGUGCCGGAAGGUUAAUUGAUGGGGUCAGCGCAAGCGAAGCUCCUGAUCGAAGCCCCGGUAAACGGCGGCCGUAACUAUAACGGUCCUAAGGUAGCGAAAUUCCUUGUCGGGUAAGUUCCGACCUGCACGAAUGGCGUAAUGAUGGCCAGGCUGUCUCCACCCGAGACUCAGUGAAAUUGAACUCGCUGUGAAGAUGCAGUGUACCCGCGGCAAGACGGAAAGACCCCGUGAACCUUUACUAUAGCUUGACACUGAACAUUGAGCCUUGAUGUGUAGGAUAGGUGGGAGGCUUUGAAGUGUGGACGCCAGUCUGCAUGGAGCCGACCUUGAAAUACCACCCUUUAAUGUUUGAUGUUCUAACGUGGACCCGUGAUCCGGGUUGCGGACAGUGUCUGGUGGGUAGUUUGACUGGGGCGGUCUCCUCCUAAAGAGUAACGGAGGAGCACGAAGGUUGGCUAAUCCUGGUCGGACAUCAGGAGGUUAGUGCAAUGGCAUAAGCCAGCUUGACUGCGAGCGUGACGGCGCGAGCAGGUGCGAAAGCAGGUCAUAGUGAUCCGGUGGUUCUGAAUGGAAGGGCCAUCGCUCAACGGAUAAAAGGUACUCCGGGGAUAACAGGCUGAUACCGCCCAAGAGUUCAUAUCGACGGCGGUGUUUGGCACCUCGAUGUCGGCUCAUCACAUCCUGGGGCUGAAGUAGGUCCCAAGGGUAUGGCUGUUCGCCAUUUAAAGUGGUACGCGAGCUGGGUUUAGAACGUCGUGAGACAGUUCGGUCCCUAUCUGCCGUGGGCGCUGGAGAACUGAGGGGGGCUGCUCCUAGUACGAGAGGACCGGAGUGGACGCAUCACUGGUGUUCGGGUUGUCAUGCCAAUGGCACUGCCCGGUAGCUAAAUGCGGAAGAGAUAAGUGCUGAAAGCAUCUAAGCACGAAACUUGCCCCGAG
rnacentral:rRNA from 1 species